rnacentral:misc_RNA from 1 species
UUUCCGUAGGUGAACCAGCGGAAGGAUCAUUCCUAAUAAGUCAACUAUGACACUUUUGUAAAUAUAUAUCUACUUGCUUCGCAAGGUCAGGGCUCAUCUUUCUCUACAGAGCAGCACGCCCAAACACCAAUUAUAUCUCAAUCCUUUGGUUGAAUAAUAUUAUGACUAAAACAAUACAAAAUAUAACUACCAACAACGGAUUGCUUGGCUCUUCCAUCGAGAAAGAACGCAGUAGAUCGGAAGAGCACACGACCUAACUUCAGUCACUUCGUACGAUCU